rnacentral:rRNA from 1 species
AACCAGACUCCUACGGGAGGCAGCAGUGAGGAAUAUUGGUCAAUGGGAGAGAUCCUGAACCAGCCAAGCCGCGUGAGGGAAGACGGUCCUAUGGAUUGUAAACCUCUUUUGUCGGGGAGCAAAAGACGCCACGCGUGGCGUUCCGAGAGUACCCGAAGAAAAAGCAUCGGCUAACUCCGUGCCAGCAGCCGCGGUAAUACGGAGGAUGCGAGCGUUAUCCGGAUUUAUUGGGUUUAAAGGGUGCGCAGGCGGAAGAUCAAGUCAGCGGUAAAAUGUCCGGGCUCAACCCGGGCCGGCCGUUGAAACUGGGGAUCUUGAGUGGGCGAGAAGUAUGCGGGAUGCGUGGUGUAGCGGUGAAAUGCAUAGAUAUCACGCAGAACUCCGAUUGCGAAGGCAGCAUACCGGCGCCCGACUGACGCUGAGGCACGAAAGCGUGGGGAUCGAACAGGAUUAGAUACCCGAGUA